AACGAACGCUGGCGGCGCGCCUAAUACAUGCAAGUCGAGCGAGAAGACGUAGCAAUACGUUUGUAAAGCGGCGAACGGGUGAGGAAUACAUGGGUAACCUACCCUCGAGUGGGGAAUAACUAGCCGAAAGGUUAGCUAAUACCGCGUACGCUCCUUGGACUUCGGUUCAGGGAGGAAAGCGAUACCGUGGGUAUCGCGCUCUUGGAUGGGCUCAUGUCCUAUCAGCUUGUUGGUGAGGUAACGGCUCACCAAGGCUUCGACGGGUAGCUGGUCUGAGAGGACGAUCAGCCACACUGGCACUGCGACACGGGCCAGACUCCUACGGGAGGCAGCAGUAAGGAAUAUUGCGCAAUGGGCGAAAGCCUGACGCAGCGACGCCGCGUGGGGGAUGAAGGUCUUCGGAUUGUAAAGCUCUUUCGG
rnacentral:rRNA from 1 species